GCCGGCGCGCGCACACGCUUGCGUACGCACCCGCGCGACCAAUCACGACACGGUAAAUAAACGAGUGCACAAGUUCGCGAUAAGCGGCCCGCUGCGCUGUCAACACACGAUAGUGAGUUUUUUGUGCGAGCUUAAUUGGGGGUUAGUGCACGUUAAUUAAACUGUGACUUCUGGGUUUUUCUUGAGGAUUGACAGUGUAGAGGACAAAUUUUAAUAAGGUUACUUUAUUUAUUUUUCUGAUCUUGUCUGCAAGAAGUUGCCUACACGCGUAGUCACGCUGUCAUAGUGGGGCUAGAGGUGGGCGAGGCUGCCUUGGCGCCAUGCCGGCAUGCUGCUCCCCGACCAGACGUACGAAGGCGCGGCGCGGGCCCUGGCGCCCGGCGCGCCCGCGGCGCCCGCGCGCCUGCCGGCGCUGCUGCGCGCGCACCGCGUGCGCCCGGACUUCUUCUGCGCCAACCGCCCGCGCCGCCCGGGACAUCCGCGCAAGGCGGUGACGGAGGGUGCGGGCGGCGAGCGGCGGCGGCGCGUACGUCUUUCUGCGAC